rnacentral:rRNA from 1 species
UACGGGGGGGGCAAGCGUUGUUCGGAAUUACUGGGCGUAAAGGGCUCGUAGGCGGCCAACUAAGUCAGACGUGAAAUCCCUCGGCUUAACCGGGGAACUGCGUCUGAUACUGGAUGGCUUGAGUUCGGGAGAGGGAUGCGGAAUUCCAGGUGUAGCGGUGAAAUGCGUAGAUAUCUGGAGGAACACCGGUGGCGAAGGCGGUUCUCUGGGCCUUACCUGACGCUGAGGAGCGAAAGCAUGGGGAGCAAACAGG